UACGAAUGGAGCAAGCGUUGUUCGGAAUCACUGGGCUUAAAGCGUGCGUAGGCGGACAUGAAAGUCAGAUGUGAAAGCCCAGGGCUCAACCCUGGAACUGCAUUUGAAACUCCAUGUCUAGAAUCCGGGAGGGGUUAGUGGAAUUCCUAGUGUAGAGGUGAAAUUCGCAGAUAUUAGGAGGAACACCAGUGGCGAAGGCGACUAACUGGACCGGUAUUGACGCUGAGGUACGAAAGCGUGGGGAUCAAACAGG
rnacentral:rRNA from 1 species